UAGUGCAACCGUACAAUGAGUGGUGGCCCACCCUGGGCCGGCUUCCUUGCCUGAGAUCUGUGUACGCGGUCGAUCAGGAUGGCCGUUUUGAAGUGUUCACACCCCAGCAAUGCCUGUAUCAGAUCCGAGCCAAAUUCAGUGGGCUUCCCUUUCUCAGUGUUCUCCUGUAUCCCACAUAUUCGGAUGUUCUGGCGUCUUGAAUGCGACUCGAGCAUUUCCAUUCGGGCUUUCAGGGUUUUGUUGUCAAUUUUUGAACGUCACGCACUGUUUCUCUAUGUCCUGUAGCCUGGCCUCGUGAUCGACUGUCGUCUGCUACACCUCAUGCACCCUUCCCUUGGUUGCCUUCACAGUUUCGGCCUAAGUCCCAAUACUCUUUGCGAUAUCAGCCAACCUUGUGUCCACCUUCUUGCUUAGUGAGUUUAUGGCAGCCAGUAUGUCACUUUGAGUAGGAUCUGUGGGGAACUCUUGGAAGCUAGCCUCUUCAGCUAACUCCUCGUGGGUUCGGCGACGUUGAAAUUGUGUUUCCCAUUUCUACAUUGGCAAGUGUAAGAUAGACAGUGUGGGGCUGUCCAUAUACAGGUACUGUCGUCUAGCCCCUUACCUGGCUGGGGUCCACACUGGCCUGUACAAACGCAUACGCUGGAAUGUGGAGAGACCCAGAGAGAGCCUGCAGCAGGAAACGGAUGGCGAGAUGGAGGGACAUCCAGAGGAGGACAAGCCAGUGGCAGGGAACGAGAGAGCCACCAACACAGAGUACUACUUCCUGUGCUACGAGGACGUCCCUGAGGAGCCUGCUGAGGGGGGCGAUGGAGAGGGAAAAGGGGAGACGGUUGCUAUAGGCAAUGUGGUCAAGGUGUGGUCAAUCGGUCAGUGGAUCCAAACGUAUCCUGACCCCGUGAGAGACCACAUCUACGACUGGUAAAAGGGUGCUGUGCUGUGUUCCGCAGGCUAGGUACCACAGGCUGUUGUGUCUGGGAGGAGAGGAGCCCUCUGCUUGCAGUGCUACUGACUGCCUGCUGGGGGUGUUGUUUUCUCAACAGACCCCAGUGGAAGACCCCAGUUGUGAAACAGAGACAAGCCACUGUUCUGGUACUGCCUUUGGCCAUAACAUGUUCUCAAUGAUUUAAAGGAUUUAACAUGACUUAUUGCUAGCUUUACAUUGUGUUAUGUUUGGCUAAUAUUUUCAAAUCUAAGUAACUAUUGGGAAGGACUUUAAGGACUGAACACUGACAUAGGACUGACAUAAGGACUGGACACUGACAAAGCUCUGGUUCCUACUAGACAGUCAUCCAUGACAAAUAUUUUCCUUAUAGUUCCUUACAUAUUGUAUAAAAACAAAUAUAAUUUAUAAAGACAGCGGGUUUUAUUACCAGUUCCCUACCAGCUAGUGACAGAUUUGAACUGUAUCUGAUGUUGUCUAUUCAUAUUCAAGGUUUUAUUGAGCGUGUGUUACUGUAUUCUGUGGUUGUUGGAAAUCAUUUUGUAUGAUCAGAAUAAAACUAUUGAC